UGGACUGUAUUGCUCUUUUCAUUCAGUUCCUUUUUCUCUGCAAGAAACUCCUGAAUAUAUUUGUAAUGACAAGAGAAACCUUUUUUGCUUCUACAAAAUUUAUAGCAGCGUUCUAUUUUUCUGCCAGAAAAUCCUCUUACAGAGACCUCCACUGGGAGAGCUGUGCCUGUUUAAAGGGGAACAUCUCUACUUGUCACCCCACGGCUGCAUGCUACCCGAGGACAUGCGGAUGGUCAGUAUUUCCACCUGAUGCCAGCAUAUAAAAGCUGCCUGAAAGAAGGCUCCGUGACAACAAGCACUGGGAGGAUGGAGCACUGAGCCUGCAGCAAAUAUCUGAAUUUAUUCAAAAACUACAAAGCAGAAGUGAACUCUAGAUGCUGAAGACAGAUGGACCACCAGAUGGACCCUGGGAAGGAUUGGUUAAAAUGUCAGUGAUAAGCUAACAGAAUGAAAUGCAGUAGACUGAGGAGACUAUUCUGCUGAAAACCAUCUACUGAAAUGGGGUUUGUAUUAUUCACAUUCAUUAAAGCACACUUCAACUGUGCUGUUUUGACAUUUUCUGUUUCGAGACUUUCAAGUCAAGCAGCUCUGUGUUUGCUGUUUUGCUGAGGUUUUUUUCUUUUCCAAAUGGUUGUUUGAUGAUAGAUUUUCAAAAGUGACCCUAGCUCUUUAAGGCGAUUGCUUUGCCAUUGAGGAAUCUUGCCAUUGUUAUAUUCAGCCAUCAAACUUACAAGUACACCAAUUCAGACUCUGAAGAGCAAACUGAUGUAAGGAUGAAGAUUAUAUAAGGGACAGAAGUGAGUUAUUGCUUGCUUCUGGUAAACUCGCAUAACUUGCUUUCCAAUUCUUACCGUUCAUUUACCUGCAAUACUAAUUCCAACAACUUCUUUGGAUUAAGCCUUGAGAAUUUCAUUACAAACAUGGAAAGAAAUGCAUACACAUGGCAGUGUAUCAGCAGUAGGGAACAAGCUAAGACGGGUCAGGAAAGACUCCAGGCAGAAGCUUUGUUGCAAAACAGAAACACAAAAUAGAGAUUUGCCUGAUUUCAUGUGGUUCAUCAUUCAGCUGCUUGAUUUCUCCACUCUUCAUUUGCUUCACAAGAAAAAAAGCUGUUUCCUUCAAACUUGCAAUAUUAGUUAUGAUUCUGCACCAGUGCCACAUGGCUAGUCUACCCAUAACUUCAUAAGGGAUAUUCUGCAGUUUCAAGUACAAAUCAAUUGUCACAAGAUCAACAUCAAAAUAUCUUCUUUACUGAGUCACACUAUAAAUUCUAUCAUGAAUAUUGCCAUUCAAUGAUUCAUAAAUAAAAACAAACGUUAGCAUUGAGAGGUAUUCCUCUCUUACUUGAAACAAUUCCCA
ensembl:lncRNA